rnacentral:misc_RNA from 1 species
GAUUUUUUAAUUUCAAUUCGGAUAACGUCGGCGAGAACAAUCCGUGACGCUUGAACUUUCAACAUUCUCGAAGAGAAGCGAGAUCGUCUUGAGAUCCGUCUUCGGAUCCUCUGAUUUUUCUUACUAAUUCGCCAUUCUCGUGUCGUUUGCUCGAUACACGAUGAAAGCAAGAAGCAUCUUUUGUUGGAAAAGGGCGAUCUUGAAACGACGAACUUCCUCCCGCCUCGUUUCUCCAAAGUGGAGCACUUUCUGUCGUCGGAUAAAUGCGAUUUCAAGCGAACUCCUUCUCCUCCUUUUCUCCUACAUCCUCCUCCUCCUCUCUCUCUUUUUUUUUCUAACUCUCUAUCUUUUACUUUUAUUUCAUCCGGAUGCCACCGAAUCGAAUUUUUGUAGACAGAGUUUUGACGGUGAAGACACAACGCGGUCGAAAUGGCGGCGAGACGAAGAGAGAGAGAGAGAAAGAGAGAGGAGCACUUCAAAACCUUCAACAGGUAGAACGGGUUCAAAAU